rnacentral:tRNA from 1 species
UGGCUUAGUUGGUAGAGCAUGGCAUUUGCAAUGCCAGGGUUGUGGGUUUGAUUCCCAC